rnacentral:rRNA from 1 species
AUGCACGCUGGCGGCGUGCCUCAUCCCUGCCAGUCGAGCGAACGGACGAGAAGCUUGCUUCUCUGAUGUUAGCGGCGGACGGGUGAGUAACACGUGGAUAACCUACCUAUAAGACUGGGAUAACUUCGGGAAACCGGAGCUAAUACCGGAUAAUAUUUUGAACCGCAUGGUUCAAAAGUGAAAGACGGUCUUGCUGUCACUUAUAGAUGGAUCCGCGCUGCAUUAGCUAGUUGGUAAGGUAACGGCUUACCAAGGCAACGAUGCAUAGCCGACCUGAGAGGGGGAUCGGCGACAGUGGAACUGAGACACGGUCCAGACUCCUACGGGAGGCAGCAGUAGGGAAUCUUCCGCAAUGGGCGAAAGCCUGACGGAGCAACGCCGCGUGAGUGAUGAAGGUCUUCGGAUCGUAAAACUCUGUUAUUAGGGAAGAACAUAUGUGUAAGUAACUGUGCACAUCUUGACGGUACCUAAUCAGAAAGCCACGGCUAACUACGUG